rnacentral:rRNA from 1 species
GUCCACGCCGUAAACGAUGAGUGCCAGACGUCGGUGGGCAUGGCCCAUCGGUGUCGCAGCCAACGCGCUAAGCACUCCGCCUGGGGAGUACGGCCGCAAGGUUAAAACUCAAAGGAAUUGACGGGGGCCCCGCACAAGCGGUGGAGCAUGUGGUUUAAUUCGAAGCAACGCGCAGAACCUUACCAGCCCUUGACAUGGGCGUCGAGGUUCCGGGAGACCGGGGCCGUCGGUUCGGCCGGACGCCACACAGGUGCUGCAUGGCUGUCGU